UACGUAGGGGGCGAGCGUUAUCCGGAAUUACUGGGCGUAAAGCGCGCGCAGGCGGUUCGCCAAGUUUGGAGUGACAGUUGGCGGCUCAACCGACAAAGGACUUCAAAAACUGGUGAACUUGAGGACGAGAGAGGAACAUGGAACUCCAGGUGUAGUAGUGAAAUGCGUAGAUAUCUGGAAGAACACCAAUGGCGAAGGCAAUGUUCUGGCUCGUUUCUGACGCUCAGGUGCGAAAGCCAGGGGAGCGAACGGG
rnacentral:rRNA from 1 species